GAACGAGAUGGGGAUAGACGAAUUUUCAGCCGAUUUUGAAAGACAAUGUGCACUACAUCAAAUACCCGUUACAGCGUGGCCGCGUAUCCUGGCAGGGAAGUUAACCGGGCGGGCCAUGGAAGCCUUCAGGACACUCAGCGCCGAAGAAGUAGCCCAAUACCCCACAGUAAAGGAAACGCUACUGAAACGGUACGCCGUGACCCCAGACACUUACCGAAGGCAGUUCCGCAACACGAAG